AAAACUUUCAACAACGGAUCUCUUGGUUCUGGCAUCGAUGAAGAACGCAGCGAAAUGCGAUAAGUAAUGUGAAUUGCAGAAUUCAGUGAAUCAUCGAAUCUUUGAACGCACAUUGCGCCCCUCGGUAUUCCGGGGCAUACCUGUUCGAGCAGUCAUU
rnacentral:rRNA from 1 species